rnacentral:rRNA from 1 species
AGACCCCUAGAAGACGACUAGGUUGAUAGGUUCGAGGUGGAAGUGCAGCAAUGCAUGCAGCUGACGAAUACUAAUCGGUCGAGGGCUUAUCCUA